rnacentral:rRNA from 1 species
UGUAACCUUAGGUCAAGCAGGAUUACCCAUCGUGUUUAAGCAUAUCAAUAAGUAGAUAAAAAGAAACUUACUAGGAUUUCCCUAGUAAUGGUGAGUGAAUCAGGAAGAACCUACCCUAAGAAUUGUGUACCCAUGGUGUCCAAAUUGUAGUAUGAAAAAACAUCCUUAGUGGUGGACUGAGGCUAAGUCCCCUUAAAAGGGGUGCCAAAAAGGGUGAGAGCCCCAUUGUGCUUGGACCCUAUCACACCAUGAGGCACUAUUUGUGAGUCAGGUAGUUUAGGAAUGUAGUCUCAAUUAGGCAAUAAAUUUUGUCCAAGGUUGAGUACAGGUGAAGAUUGAUAGUGAACAAAUACUAAAAGGGAAGGAUGAAAAGGACUGUGAAAAAAAAGUGAAAGAGUGCUUGAAAAUAUAGGGAAAGAAGUAGAUAGAGGCUGGCAAUGCACCCCAGUUGGAUGUAGAUAGGUGAAAGUUGGUCCACCAAUUGGCUCAGGGUAUAGACCGAUGCAGGUAACGAUGAUAGCCCAAGCUCGGGCUUUCGAUAUGCCCAUGUAGACGUCAUCACUGCAAUCAAACAAUGUAGCACAUGCCAUAUCAAUGUGCCUUAGCACAUGUGUGCUCCUAACAUCAGCCUACAAUUUCCCUAUCUGGUCCAUCUUGAAACAUGGACCAAGGAGUCUGAAUGUGUGCUAGUCAACGGGCUAGAAAACCCAUAAAGCAUAAGGUAGCUAAUUUGUAAGAUCCCUUAUGAGUGUACUACCAACUGACCUUGAUCUUCUGAAAAGGGUUCAAGUGUAAGCAUGCCUAUCGAGACCCAAAAGAUAGUGAACUAUACCUAAGCAAGGCAAAGCCAGAGAAAACUUUGGUGCAAGCCUACAGUGAUACUGACAUGCAAAUCUUUCAUCUAAUUAAGUAUAGGGUCAAAAGACUAAUCGAACCAUCUAGUAACUAGUUCCCUCCAAAGUUUCCCUUAGGAUAGUUGGAGCCCAUAGCAAGUUCUAUUGGGUAAGGCCAAUGAUUAAAGGCAUCAGAGGCAUAACAUCCUUGACAUAUUCUCAAACUUUAAAUAGGUAAGAUGGCAUGGUUGCUUCAUUGAGCCAUGCCAAAAAAUCGAGAGCUCUGAGUGGGCCAUUUUUGGUAAGUCGAGCUAUCGAUGUGGGAUGAAUCAAAAGCCAGGUUACAGUGCCCAACUAUGUAUGAACCUAGAACCCAUAAAGGAUGUUGGUUGAUUAAGACAACAGGAUGGUGGUCAUGGAAGUUAAAAUUCACUAAGGAGUCUGUAAUAACUCACCUACCAAAUCAAGUAGCCUCGAAAGUGGAUGGCACUUAAUUUAAUGAUCUAUACCCAAUUAUCAGGGCAAGGCCAGGCCCCAAUGAGUUAAAAGGUGCAACGAUUACUGCAAAACUUAGGGUACAAGUUCUAGCAGAGCAGCCAUUAGUGCAAAUCUUAGUGGUAGUAGCAAAUAUUCAAAUAAGAAUGAAAAGGAGAAAAGUUCCAUGUAAAUGCACUUGCACAUGGGUUAGUCGAUCCUAAGAGAUGAGGGAAGCCCAUCUUAUAGCGCGUCCAAUGUGAGCUUCAAAAGGGAAUUAGGUUAAAAUUCUUAAAUCAAGAUGCAACGACUGAUGGCAAUGUCAGGGAGUCUAAAGACAUAGGUAGAGGCCUUGAGAAGGUUUAUAUUUUCUCGUUAAUGGCCUGCCCACCUUGGAAAUAGCUCAGCCAAAGGCCAGAAGAGUGCCACAUGUUGCAUAAUGUCUGGUUCACCCUCAAUAGCCCUUGAAAUUUGGAAGACCAAGUGCUAUCAGUCCCAAUCAUACUAAUAAUUACAUCAGGUCUCUAAUAUGAAUAGCCUCUAGUCAAUGGAACAAUAUAGGCAAAUGAAGUCAGCAAAUUGUAUCUGUAACCUUAGGAAAAGGAUUGGCUCAAGGGUUAGGCAUAAGGGUCCCAGUCCUAAACCCAUCAGUUACCAUUGCACUACUCGAGUUAUUCCCACAGUGAGAGUGGGUUAUCGCGUGUCGGCCAGGGGAUGAACUAGGAAUAGCUCCCUUGAGGGCCUUUCCUAGGUAAUGAAUAGUUGACUCAAAAUUGAUAAAGAGAAGGGAAAUCCAACUGUUUAAUUAAACCAAAGCAUUGUGAUUGUCCCUGCAGAUGCUCAAGCAAUGUGAUUUCUACCCAGUGCUCUGAAUGUCAAAGUGAAGAAAUUCAACUAGGCACGAGUAAAUGGCAAGAGUAACUAUGACUCUCUUAAGGUAGCCAAAUGCCUCAUCAUCUAAUUAGUAAUGUGCUUGAAUAGAUUAAUGAGAUUCCCACUAUCCCUAUCUACUAUCCCACUUGUGGCAACCAAGCGUUCAUAGCAACAUUGCUUUUUGAUCCUUUGAUGUCAGGUCUUCCUAUCAUUAUGAAGUAGAAUUCACCAAGUGUUGCCAAUAGGGAACAUAAGCUAGGUUUAGACCAUUGUGAGAUAGGUUAGUUUAACCCUAUUGAUGGCAGCAUCAUAAUAGCAAUUCAACCUAGUAUAAAUGGAACCACUGAUUCACAUAAUUGGUCAUUGUGUCAUGGGCUUCGAACUUAAGCCUGAAUCUGUAUGGUCUUAGGGCUUGGAAUUAACUCCGUAUGCCUAAGUUUAACCUAUGCAACUAGUGUACAGGCAAACAAGAAGAAGAAAGGGUGGAAUACACAAGUUAGUGAACACAAUAGAGAAUGCUGGAAUAUGCAGUAUAUUACUAAAGAUAGAUUGUGUCUAAAGAUGUGAUAAUGUACAACUGAGGGUGGGGUGACCCUCUAUUUAUAGUUGAGGCUCCUAGUUUUACUUAUGGCUAACUCCUAAAAUUAAAGGAUUUACAAGUUUUUGAAAAAUCAGGGAUUACACAUUAUUACACAGAUUACAUAAGGCUCCUCCUGAUUUUCAGGG